UAAGCAUAGCGGCACAAGCAAUUUGUUAUUGCAUAUUCCCAAAUGUCCGACCAAUCCCUACAAGGCAGAAGGUAGCCAGACAACAUUAAGUUUUCAGCCGCAAGGUCUAACAGGUAAUGUUUCAGUUAUCCCUUGGAAAUUUGAUCAAGAGGCAUGUAGGAGGGCUUUAGCUCGUAUGAUUAUUAAAGAUGAAUUUCCCUUUAUUUCUGUUGAAAAAGAUGGAUUUAGAGACUUUGUUAGAAGUCUUCAACCUUUAUCUCAUAUUCCAUCUCGUACUACUAUGACUAGGGAUUGUCUUGAGAUUUACCAUGAAGAGAGACUUGCUUUGAAGUCUAUUCUUAAAGAAUCAAAAUAGAGAAUAUGUAUUACUACUGAUACAUGGGCUUCAAUUCAAAGAAUUAAUUAUAUGUGUGUUACAGCCCAUUACAUUAACAAUAAUUGGAAAUUACAUAAAAGGAUAUUGAAUUUUUGUCCAAUUACUAGUCAUAAAGGUCAAGAUUUAGCUAGUGGUAUUGCUAAGUGUUUACUUGAAUGGGGAGUGGAUAAAGUAUUUACUGUGACAGUUGAUAAUGCGAGUUCUAAUGAUGUGAUGGUUGGAGAGUUAUCCAAGCAAUUUACUAGAUGGAACACUAACUUGAUGGAAGGUAAGCAUGUUCAUGUGAGAUGUAUGACUCACAUCAUCAAUCUAGUUGUUCAAGAUGGGUUGAGAGAUGGGAGUGUGUCUGUUGAACGAAUAAGACAAGCUGUUAGGUACAUUAGACAAUCUCCCGCGAGAUGGAAAAAGUUUAAAGAAUGUUGUGAUCUUGAUAGGAUAACUUCUAAAAAAUCAUUGUGCUUGGAUGUUCCUACUAGGUGGAACUCCACAUAUUUGAUGUUGAAGGUUGCUACAGUUUAUGAGGAAGCCUUUACAAAUCAUUGUAUUUCUAACUGCAUUUGUGAGGAUGGACAACCUGCAGGUCCACUUUUAAGUAGUGAUUGGGAUAGUGUAAGACAUAUUGUGAAGUUUCUGGAAAUUUUUUAUGAACUCACCUUGAAAUUAUCAGGUACACUUUAUAUUACGUCUAAUGUACACUUUCUUGAAUAUGUGUUGUUGAUUCUUCUUUGAAAGAGUUGAUGCAAAAUGAAGAUGCUUUCUUGAGAGAAAUGGCAAAGAAUAUAAAAGAGAAAUUUGACAAGUAUUGGGGGGAUCCACAUAAGAUGAACAAAAUGAUUUUUAUCUCAUGUGUGCUUGAUCCACGCCAUAAGUUUAAUACUCUUUCAUUUGCACUUGGUGCUAUGUUUGGAGAAACAGUAGGUUUGAAAAUACAAGAGGAUGUGAAAACAUACAUGGGUACUUUGUUUAAUGUGUAUGGAAUGAAAAAUGGUGGUUCUGGUACAUGUCCAUCUUAUCCAUCUUCUCCAUGUUCUGGUCCAUCUUCUCCAUCUUCUUCAUCAUUGCUCUCAAAAUUCAUGCUAGAUUUAAAGAAGCAUAAGAAAUGUGGCGGAGUUGAUUCUAAAACGGAGUUAGAUAAAUAUUUGGGUGAAGAUAUUGAGGAAGACCAUGAAAAGUUUAACAUUCUGGGGUGGUGGAAGUUGAACUCACCUAGAUUUCCCACUCUUGCUGAGAUGGCACGUGAUGUGCUAGCCAUUCCGAUUUCUAGUGUUGCCUUAGAAUCAGCCUUUAGCACCGGCGGACGCAUACUUGAUCCAUUUAGGAGUUCAUUGACUCCUAGAUUAGUUCAAGCUCUUGUGUGUGUCCAAGAUUGGCUUCGUAAUGAAUCAAUAACUCCGAUUAAAAUUGAAGAAGAUUUAGAUAAUCUUGAACAACUUGAAGCUGGUAAGCCUAUCUUAUUACUUGUGUUUAAUGUAUACUUUAUUUGUAUGUUUAUUUAGAUUACUUCUAAACUAAUUUCUUGUGUUACUAUCUUAUUAUACAGAAUUUAUGAAUACGGGAAGAGAGCCUUGCAUUGUCGACAUAUAGUUAUUUUCCAUUUGUUGUACAAGCUCAGGUAUUUCAUUAUACACUUGCUCCUUAUUUUGUUGUAUGUUUCUGGACCUUGAGCUGUCUUUUUCUUUCUCUGAAAAUGCUCUUUUUAUUGUUUGAAAUUGCAGAUUUUUAACUUGUCUCACAGUCCUACUGAGAAUCUGAGAUUGAGAGCUACAUUUGGCCUGGUUGCUGGUUUGUGUUGACUGUUGCGGCUUCCCAAAACUUGGAACUUGGAACUCUUUUGUUUUGUGUAAUAUGUUAAAGAACUGUUGGGACUUUAGUAGUUUGGUUUGUUUUAUUUUGCUAUGAAAAUAUGGUUUGAAAGACAAUUGAUUGUGUUUUGUUUGGGG
rnacentral:lncRNA from 1 species